rnacentral:rRNA from 1 species
GGUGAACGCUGGCGGCGUGCCUAAUACAUGCAAGUCGAACGCUGGAGAUCUAGCUUGCUAGAUCGAAGGAGUGGCGAACGGGUGAGUAAUACAUAAGCAACCUACCCACGAAGACUGGGAUAAUCUCUGGAAACGGGGACUAAUACCGGAUAGGUAAUCGGAAGGCAUCUUCUGGUUAUUAAAGGUUAAAAACACUGGUGGAUGGGCUUAUGGCGCAUUAGUUAGUUGGUGAGGUAACGGCCCACCAAGACGAUGAUGCGUAGCCGGCCUGAGAGGGUGAACGGCCACAUUGGGACUGAGACACGGCCCAGACUCCUACGGGAGGCAGCAGUAGGGAAUUUUCGGCAAUGGGGGCAACCCUGACCGAGCAACGCCGCGUGAGUGAAGACGGCCUUCGGGUUGUAAAGCUCUGUUGUAAGGGAAGAACGGUAGAUAGAGAAUAUCUAAGUGACGGUACCUUACCAGAAAGCCACGGCUAACUACGUG